UGGGAUGUAACUCAGUGGUAGAGCACUUGUUUAGCACAUGUGAGGCCCUAGGUUCAAUCCCUAGUACUGCAA
rnacentral:tRNA from 1 species